GAUGAACGCUGGCGGCGUGCCUAAUACAUGCAAGUCGAGCGAACAGACGAGGAGCUUACUCCUCUGACGUUAGCGGCGGACGGGUGAGUAACACGUGGAUAACCUACCUAUAAGACUGGGAUAACUUCGGGAAACCGGAGCUAAUACCGGAUAACAUGUUGAACCGCAUGGUUCAACAGUGAAAGACGGUCUUGCUGUCACUUAUAGAUGGAUCCGCGUCGCAUUAGCUAGUUGGUAAGGUAACGGCUUAUCAAGGCAACGAUGCGUAGCCGACCUGAGAGGGUGAUCGGCCACACUGGAACGGAGACACGGUCCAGACUACUACGGGAGGCAGCAGUAGGGAAUCGGCCGCAAUGGGCGAAAGCCUGACGGAGCAACGCCGCGUGAGUGGAGAAGGUCUUCGGAUCGUAAAACUCUGUUAUGAGGGAAGAACAAAUGUGUAAGUAGCUGUGCACGUCUUGACGGUACCUAAUCAGAAAGCCACGGCUAACUACGUG
rnacentral:rRNA from 1 species